CGUCAUCUUCAUCAUGCACCAUUGAAUCAAACCGACUUCACAACCGCCAUCUGAUCAACGGUAGAGGCAAACUAACAUGUGCAACAUGUGGGCAAGGUCGGUGGGAGGCCAACCGACCCUGGAACCGCCAUGAAGUGGGGUCGGCCGACCCCCUAUCUGGCUGGUUGGGCCCACCUGCAGUGUCAUGGAGGUUCUCUAAUGUCGGCGGAGUUGAGCUGACCUGUGGGACCCACCAAAGUGGGGUCGCCCGACCCCAAUUCUAUGGGGUUAGGGUGUCAGCCCUGUCCUACAUGUCUUCCUCUUCAUGACUAUAAUGUUGUCUUGGUUACUGGUGUCACUGAUCUUUAGUUAUUCACCCCUUCUUAGUGUUUGGACCCUUGAAAAGUACCUGUUCUUACUCCUGCAACCAAAUAGUAGCAUGUACAUGUGGAACUAGGUUAUAUGUACCUAUAUUACUACUUUGUUUGGUUGUUUUCUCCCAAAAUGAGUCUUAUGUUGACGGUUAUGAUAGUAGAAAACAUGGUAUAAAUACCGUCAACAAGACCCCCCACACUUGAGUCUUGGCUCGUCCUCGAGUAAAGGUUAAAAAUGAGUGAUCAAUGGUUUCUAACUUAAGAUAGUAGUGAGCAUAAAAUGCUAGUUCGAACAUAGUUCAUCCAAAUGGGUUUUUGUGUAAGUGUCUAGCAUAUAUCCUUCAGAGGUUGAGAAAAGGAACAACUCUCAGAACAAGAUCAAAUUCCAAUUUCAUAUUCUUGGUACUUAGAGUUUUUAUGACACUUUUUAAAAUAAGUCACAUAGUUCAAUCCUACUCCUCAUUUAGCGCUCUAGAUCACUCAAAGUUUUUUUAGUAGUCCUCACCAAGGCAUGAAUGCCAACUUGUUUCAUCCUAUAAUUAUAGGCUUAUAUGGGGCUUGGUAGGGAUAAACAAGGUAGCAUACUCUACUUUGCAAAUAUUGUUAAGUCAAAAACAAGGAUCCAAAGAGAGGAGUGUCAUAGUCAUAGAUCAAGAUGUGCAAGUGUGUUAUAUGGUGGACUAGGUUGCUCCUUUAUUUACUACACUCUCUCUACUUGUAUAUUGAGACAUGGCUAGCUUUUCUUUUUCUUCGAGCUUUAUGUGCUCAAUUUUUUUUUUCAUGGACUUGCACAUGUCCAUCUUUUCUUUUUCUUUUAUUUUGCCAAGCCCUUUUAUGUCUCAUUUUCUAAACAAUAUUUAGAGAGGUGUUCUAACACUUAGAGUAUGGAGCAACCUAUUUAGUGGAUGCACAAUACAUGUGGUUGCGUACUUCCAGUGUAGAAGCAGCAUAUAUAUAUGUGGUGUGUACGUGAUCUUGAUCUUGUGACUAUGAUACAACUCUCACUAGGGUCAACAAGGUUUUGACAAAACUCAUUACAAAAGCAGGUUGCAUUUCAUAAAAUGGUUACUUGAAUAUCUAAGUGUAUGGCUUUUAGUGGGAAUUUCUUGCUAAUGAGGAGUAAAUGAUACUAUGGUUUUGUGAUAUUUUUGAAACAAAUCUCUAAGUACCUUGAAUAGAAAUGUUAUGAAUUCUUAGCCAAGAGUUAUAUCACUUUCAU
rnacentral:lncRNA from 1 species